CCUCGGGAGGCAGCAGUGGGGAAUCUUAGACAAUGGGGGCAACCCUGAUCUAGCCAUGCCGCGUGAGUGAUGAAGGCCUUAGGGUCGUAAAGCUCUUUCGCCUGUGAUGAUAAUGACAGUAGCAGGUAAAGAAACCCCGGCUAACUCCGUGCCAGCAGCCGCGGUAAUACGGAGGGGGUUAGCGUUGUUCGGAAUUACUGGGCGUAAAGCGCGCGUAGGCGGAUUAGAAAGUUGGGGGUGAAAUCCCGGGGCUCAACCCCGGAACUGCCUCCAAAACUGCUAGUCUAGAGUUCGAGAGAGGUGAGUGGAAUUCCGAGUGUAGAGGUGAAAUUCGUAGAUAUUCGGAGGAACACCAGUGGCGAAGGCGGCUCACUGGCUCGAUACUGACGCUGAGGUGCGAAAGUGUGGGGAGCAAACAGGAUUAGAUACCCUGGUAGUCCACACCGUAAACGAUGAAUGCCAGUCGUCGGGUAGUAUACUAUUCGGUGACACACCUAACGGAUUAAGCAUUCCGCCUGGGGAGUACGGUCGCAAGAUUAAAACUCAAAGGAAUUGACGG
rnacentral:rRNA from 1 species